rnacentral:rRNA from 1 species
UACGAAGGGGGGCUAGCGUUGCUCGGAAUCACUGGGCGUAAAGGGUGCGUAGGCGGGUCUUUUAAGUCAGGGGUGAAAUCCUGGAGCUCAACUCCAGAACUGCCUUUGAUACUGAAGAUCUUGAGUUCGGGAGAGGUGAGUGGAACUGCGAGUGUAGAGGUGAAAUUCGUAGAUAUUCGCAAGAACACCAGUGGCGAAGGCGCUCACUGGCCCGAUACUGACGCUGAGGCACGAAAGCGUGGGGAGCAAACAGGG